rnacentral:rRNA from 1 species
GUCUUAAAGGCGUAUACAGCGUCUUUGGCGAACGGCUCAGUAACACGUGGGCAAUCUACCCUCGAGAGGAGCUAAACCCGGGAAACUGGGCAUAAUACUCCAUUUGCAAUAUUGACUGGAAUGUUUUAUUGCAUAAAGAACUCACACUAUGUGAUGUUUCGCUCGAGGACGAGCCUGCGGUGGAUUAGGUUGUUGGCGGGGUAACUGCCCACCAAGCCUUUGAUCCAUACGGGCCUUGGAAGAGGUAGCCCGGAGAAGGACACUGAGAUAAGGGUCCUAGCCCUACGGGGUGCAGCAGUCGCGAAACCUUUACAAUGCGCGAAAGCGUGAUAGGGGGAUUUCGAGUGCCAGUUCUACUGGCUUUUGCCAAGCCCAAAAAGCUUGGCGAAUAAGUGGAGGGCAAGACACGUGCCAGCCGCCGCGGUAAUACGUGCCCCACAAGUGGUAUCCACUAAUAUUGGGCCUAAAACGUCUGUAGCCUGUUCAAUAAGUCUUUGGUGAAAUCACACAGCUUAACUGAGUGAAUUGCUAAGGAUACUAUUGGGCUAGAGGUUGGAAGAGGCAAAGGGAAUGCUUGGGGUAACGGUGAAAUGUUAUGAUCCUAAGUAGACCCCCAGUAGCGAAGGCGCUUUGCCAGUACAAUCCUGACGGUGAGAGACGAAAGCUGGGGGAGCGACCCGGAUUAGAUACCCGGUUAGUCCCAGCCGUAAACGAUGUGGACUAGGUGUCCUAACACCCACGAGGUGCAGGGGUGCCGAAGGGAAGCCAUUAAGUCCACUGCCUGGGAAGUACGCUCGCAAGGGUGAAACUUAAUGGAAUUGGCGGGAGCGCACUACAAGGGGUGGAUGCUGCGGUUUAAUCGGAUAAAACGCCAAAGGAUCUUACCAGGGCUGACAGCAGGAUGAUGGACAGUCUGAAGGGCUUUCCUGACGCGCUGAGAGGUGUUGUAUGGUCAUCGUCAGCUCGUACUAUGAAGCGUCCUGUCAACUCAGGCAACGGGCGAGACCCACAUCCUUAGUUGCUACUCGUUCUAUUGAGCGGGGCACUCUAGGGAGACUGCGGUGGUAACACUGAGGAAGGCGUGGUCCACGGUAGAUCGGUAUGGCCCGAACGCCCUGGGCAACACGCGGCAUACAUUGGUUGAGACAAUGAGUUUCGAACCCGAAAGGGCAAGGUAAUCCCCUAAACUCAACCUAGGUUCGGACCGAGGGUUGUAACUCACCCUCGUGAAGCUGGAAUCCCCAGUAAUCGCGUGUCACUAUCACGCGGUGAAUAAGUCCCUGCGCUUUGCACACACCGCCCAUCAAGCCAGUUGAGUGAGGUACAGAUGAGGUGCUAUCAUUCGAGAGCAACGAUUCUGGACUUUGUAAGACGGGCUAAGUUGUAACAAGGUG